rnacentral:rRNA from 1 species
AGAGUUUGAUCAUGGCUCAGGAUAAACGCUGGCGGCGUGCUUAAUACAUGCAAGUCGAGCGGCAGCAUGCACUUCGGUGUGAUGGCGAGCGGCGGACGGCUGAGUAACGCGUAGGAAUGUACCCCAAAGUGAGGAAUAAGCAUCAGAAAUGGUGUCUAAUGCCGCAUGUGGUCUACGGAUUAAAGCUUUAUGCGCUUUGG